UAAUGCAAAGAAAACAAAUUCAUAUUCAUAUUCAUUUAGAAACAACAAUACUAAUGUUUUAACUCAAGAAGAGUUCAAAAUCAAUAUUUGGUGGAAUAACAAUGAGGUCUUCAAUCGGGUUCAGUACAGUGGUCUCUUAAUUUUUUCCAUAGCUGUAUAUCCAUUUUAAAACU